AAUGCUGGGCGAAGGCUCCGAGCCACGAGACCCCCGCCUCCUGUCCCGGGACCCACCCAGGCGGAGGCAAGGGCAGGGGCGCUGGGGGCCCAGAGAGAGGGCGCCGCGAUGGAUGAAUGAGCUGUUUCCAGCAUUCCUGCUUCAACUCAAAAUUUUCCUUCAUGGCACAGUGGAAAGCUUUGAAGACGGCGGUUCUGGGGCUGAAUAUGAAGGCAACUCGGACUAAGAAGACGACUGCUUUCCAACUGCCCUCCCGUCCUGCAGCCGCCUGAUUUGAGGAAGGGGCUGGGAUCCUUCCCCUUGCCCUCUGGUUGUUCUUGGAGUUACAGCAGCCCCGCGGCAGCUCUGCCCCCUAGUGCACAUGUGAGGCAGCGCGCCCUUCUCCAAUCCAGAAGCCUCGUCGCGGUGCUGCCAGCAAGGGAGUUUUUCUGUAUUCACUUUGGUGGAAAUAGCAAAACUUGACAGAAAAAAAACCCAAGCCAAACCAAAAAAAAAAAAAAA
rnacentral:lncRNA from 1 species